rnacentral:rRNA from 1 species
AGUGAACGCUGGCGGUAGGCCUAACACAUGCAAGUCGAACGGCAGCACAGGAGAGCUUGCUCUCUGGGUGGCGAGUGGCGGACGGGUGAGGAAUACAUCGGAAUCUGCCCAGUCGUGGGGGAUAACGUAGGGAAACUUACGCUAAUACCGCAUACGACCUUCGGGUGAAAGAGGGGGAUCGCAAGACCUCUCGCGAUUGGAUGAGCCGAUGUCGGAUUAGCUAGUUGGCGGGGUAAUGGCCCACCAAGGCGACGAUCCGUAGCUGGUCUGAGAGGAUGAUCAGCCACACUGGAACUGAGACACGGUCCGGACUCCUACGGGAGGCAGCAGUGGGGAAUAUUGGACAAUGGGCGCAAGCCUGAUCCAGCCAUACCGCGUGGGUGAAGAAGGCCUUCGGGUUGUAAAGCCCUUUUGUUGGGAAAGAAAUCUUUCAGGCUAAUACCCUGGGAGGAUGACGGUACCCAAAGAAUAAGCACCGGCUAACUUCGUG